rnacentral:lncRNA from 1 species
UGGAGGGAAGUUUCCUUAAUGCUGAAAUAGGUGUAUUUUACUUCCACUAAUGCUAAAUCCUAUCUUCCUUGAUGAACGAUACAAACAGUUCAGAAGAGUAAGAACUCAAGUAGCACUCCCAUUUCUGGCGCAUUUUCAUAAAAACUAAUUUUCUCAACUAAUUAUCUAUUAAGUAGGGCUGCAAGCAUGUUCUAGAAUCUACCAGAUGGAAUACUGAACCGGGCUAGCCGUGGAACCGCUUCCUGCUGUUGGUUUCCAUCAGCACACUAACCAUUUUAGAGCAAAGCCUCACACCAGCCCUGCGAGGUAGGUGCUGUGGACACCUCCGCUUUACUUGGAAGAGGUAAGUAACCACUUCAAACAUUCUAUACAUUAAAGAGCAACAACACUGCUUGUCAGGCAGACUGCACUCACUGAGCGCUCCUACCAACAACAAAUGCAAAACACCUACAUGCAGGCUCUAUAAAGAAGGGAAGACUUAAAGCUGGCCCACACAGAAAAGCUCUAUAUAGGAUCUGCCUAGCCCGAGGCAGAGGCAGGAGAACCUCUUAAAUGUCUUCAGAGGUAUGGGAGUGGGGUCAGAAUUAACUGGCUAUACACACCGAGGUGUCUGUGAGAUGGCACAUACCCCAUGGUGUGAGAUGGCAUAUACCCCAUGGUGUGAGAUGGCACAUACCCCAUGGUGUGAAAUGGCACGUACCCCAUGGUACUGGCCGCCUGGGAAGCUGAAGAAGACUGCUUGUGCUCAAGAUUUUAAGGCCAACCUGGUGACAUAGCAAGGCUGAGAGUGUGUGUGUGGCAGGACCAACUCAAAUGCUCUUCAAAUGUCUGUGAGCUGAGACUUCAAUAGGGUGGUGGUGGGGUGCUGUUCUACAGUCUCUCUUGCCUUUUGAUUCUUGAGAACAGAACUUCAAGUUGAAAUAACCCUUUGGAAACAAUGAAAUUUGCUAAGCUACUUGUUAGGUACAGAAAAUUCAUCACUUAGUCCAACAUCUUCCAUUUUCCUGGAGUUGUAAGUUUCUAAGUGUCGCCACUAUAAAAGGGAAGUGAGUAUAUUCACAGAAGGAGAGCUGCCGGCAUGGGUUUUAAGUAGGUCUGGAAUGCUCAGUGCAUCCACUCCACUGCUUUUACUAACAGAAAAGCGAAAGCUACACCAUUGUCAAAUCACCCUUAUGAGUGACUUUUAGAAAAAAAAACUAUCAUCAACCCAGGCAGCCUUAAUAAGUCUGCAACAUUAAGUCAGGGAGAUGAUACGUAUCUUACCAUUUUCCUCUUCAAACUUAGGUGAUCCUCUUGCUAUAAACACCUGAAGGUGUCCAAGAGCACACUGGAGAUCUGCCUAUCCGCACAAGGUUGGCUCACACAGACCUGUAUGACCACUUACGUGAAUGCACUGUUUCUCUGCUCAAGCCUUCUUCACUACUGACUUCUCCAGUCCUUCCUUUUAGCUAAAAUAUUUAUUAAAAAUGAGGUAUACUUGAUGGCUAAUAAAUAAAAGGCCAUAUAAGAGGUUGGAAUGCUAGUAAGUACAGUUAAAACUACUUGUGAUUUGGUAUAGCCAUGUCUUAAAACAAAACAAACUUUU